UUUCGUUACUUUCCAAAUAUUGUUUAAUUCUACGUGAUUUAUUCCGAGAUUUAUUCCAGAUUUUAUUUUAAUUUUGGGAUAGGUAAUAGGACCUCUAAAUGCGUCUGGGAUCUCUCGUUUGUGGCUUACUCAAUACAACUACAAGUAUUAUUUAUUUAAUGGACUUCUUAUAUCUUCAACGGGGUCUGGAAAGUAGAUCAUGCAUGCAUGCCAUCAAAUACUGUAUAUUAGAUGCAUGCAUAUAAUGUGUGUGCUGUUUUGUGUCUUUUGUAUGUCAAUCCAUUAAAGAUG